UGAACGCUGGCGGCGUGCCUAACACAUGCAAGUCGAACGGAGAUAGACGCUGACGAGACUCGGUCAAAUCUUGUUAAUCUUAGUGGCGGACGGGUGAGUAACGCGUGGGCAACCUGCCUCAUACUGGGGGGAUAGCAGUUGGAAACGACUGAUAAUACCGCAUAAGCGCACGAGAUCGCAUGAUCUAGUGUGAAAAACUCCGGUGGUAUGAGAUGGGCCCGCGUCAGAUUAGCUAGUUGGUAAGGUAACGGCUUACCAAGGCGACGAUCUGUAGCCGGACUGAGAGGUCGGACGGCCACAUUGGGGACUGAGACACGGCCCAAACUCCUACGGGAGGCAGCAGUGGGGGAUAUUGCACAAUGGAGGAAACUCUGAUGCAGCGACGCCGCCGUGAGUGAAGAAGUAUUUCGGUAUGUAAAGCUCUAUCAGCAGGGAAGAAAGGCUCUAAGGAGAGAUGACGGUACCUGACUAAGAAGCCCCGGCUAACUACGUGCCAGCCGCGGC
rnacentral:rRNA from 1 species